CCUACGGGAGGCAGCAGUGGGGAAUAUUGCGCAAUGGGGGAAACCCUGACGCAGCGACGCCGCGUGAGCGAAGAAGGCCUUAGGGUUGUAAAGCUCUGUUUUAGGGGACGAAUGUCGUGGGGAGUAAUAUGACCUACGAAUGACGGUACCCUAAGAGGAAGCCCCGGCUAACUACGUGCCAGCAGCCGCGGUAAGACGUAGGGGGCGAGCGUUGUCCGGAAUUACUGGGCGUAAAGAGCACGUAGGCGGGAACCUAAGUCAGGUGUGAAAGACCGUGGCUCAACCACGGGGUGGCAUUUGAAACUGGGUUUCUUGAGGGCAGGAGAGGAAAGCAGAAUUCCUGGUGUAGCGGUGAAAUGCGUAGAAAUCAGGAGGAAUACCAGUGGCGAAGGCGGCUUUCUGGACUGACCCUGACGCUGAGGUGCGAAAGCGUGGGUAGCAAACAGGAUUAGAUACCCGUGUAGUC
rnacentral:rRNA from 1 species